GUUCACCACAUCUCAACCACUCAACAGGCACCUGUGGCUAGAGGCUAAUGCAAUGGACAGCACAGGUGUAGACGUCAUCUUUAUGCAAAGCCACCGUAGGGCUAUAAUGAGGAAUGGGAUAUGAAGAUCACCCACGCUGCUCCGUGGAUAAUGGAUUUGAUGGGAAAAAGUGGGAACAGGGAAAUCAGAAAGGAGGAGAUCAUAGACUCUAAAGGAGACAUUAAGAUCAAGAGGAAACCUCCAUCAGCUGGUGACAGCACAUGUUCUUUGCUGAAGUCUAUUAGACAUUUAGAGAGAGAGCACAAGCCGGGGGAGCACCAGAUGGAGAAAGAAGCAGGCUCCCCAAUGAGCAGGGAGGCCAAUGUGGGGCUUGAUCCCAGGACCCUGGGAUCAUGACCAGAGCCAAAAUCAGAAGCUUAACUGGGCCGCCCAAGUAUCCUUCUUCUCUUUUUUCCCCCUGAUUUUAUUUAUUUAUUUGAAAGAGAGAGAAAGCAGGGGAAGGAACAGAGCGGAAGGGACAAGGAAGGAGAAAGAAUCUCAACAAGGGGCUCAAUCUCAUGACCCCGCGAUCAAGACCAGAGUCAAAACCAAGAGUCAGAUGCUCAAAAAAAGCUUUGGCCCUUUUGGGGUCUAUCAACUUGCCAUCCAGUUUGUGUUCCUUGAGCUCCAGCACCUUGUCGACACUAGCCGCGUCUUUGAAAAGCACGAAUCCGAAUCCUCUGGAUCUUCCGGUCACCGGGUCCGUCUUAAUCGUGCAGUCCACCACUUCCCCAAACCGGGACAGAUACUCGGUCAGGUCUUUCUUGCUCGUAUCCCAGCUCAAGCCUCCAAUGAACAUUUUCCCGUCAUCCUGCUGGUUCUUGCUCGCGUUGAUCUUGGAUCCCUCUGCGAACUCCUCGAUGUUGCUGUACUCGUUCACGUCCUCCAUGGCGGCGGCGCUGUCGGCCGGGAGGUGCUGGCGCGCAGUCCGGGUCGCGGCGGCAGCGGCGGCGGAGCGUUGUAUGGAGCUGGAUUUAAAAUGGCGGCGGAAGAGGAAACCAUUAUACAUUUUAUUUAAUAGAGCACAAUUUAUAUAUAAAGUAUGCAUAACAUAUAUAUUUUACACUUUAAAAAAUAAAACAGUAGCGUGCUUUACACAGUUUUCUGCACUUUGGUUAUUUUAACUUAAUGAUGUACUUUAGCAUGUGUUCUAUGAUAGAACUAUAGAGUUCCCUUAUUUUUAAUAGUUACAUAGUAUUGUUUGGGUGUAAUAUAACUUACGUAGCCAUCCCUUAUUAGUAGACAUCUGGUCUAUUUUCC
rnacentral:lncRNA from 1 species